rnacentral:rRNA from 1 species
UCAGAGCGAACGCUGGCGGCAGGCCUAACACAUGCAAGUCGAACGGACCUUUCGGGGUUAGUGGCGGACGGGUGAGUAACACGUGGGAACGUGCCUUUAGGUUCGGAAUAGCUCCUGGAAACGGGUGGUAAUGCCGAAUGUGCCCUUCGGGGGAAAGAUUUAUCGCCUUUAGAGCGGCCCGCGUCUGAUUAGCUAGUUGGUUGAGGUAACGGCUCACCAAGGCGACGAUCAGUAGCUGGUCUGAGAGGAUGGCCAGCCACAUUGGGACUGAGACACGGCCCAAACUCCUACGGGAGGCAGCAGUGGGGAAUCUUGCGCAAUGGGCGAAAGCCUGACGCAGCCAUGCCGCGUGAAUGAUGAAGGUCUUAGGAUUGUAAAAUUCUUUCACCGGGGACGAUAAUGACGGUACCCGGAGAAGAAGCCCCGGCUAACUUCGUGCCAGCAGCCGCGGUAAUACGAAGGGGGCUAGCGUUGCUCGGAAUUACUGGGCGUAAAGGGCGCGUAGGCGGACAUUUAAGUCAGGGGUGAAAUCCCAGAGCUCAACUCUGGAACUGCCUUUGAUACUGGGUGUCUUGAGUGUGAGAGAGGUAUGUGGAACUCCGAGUGUAGAGGUGAAAUUCGUAGAUAUUCGGAAGAACACCAGUGGCGAAGGCGACAUACUGGCUCAUUACUGACGCUGAGGCGCGAAAGCGUGGGGAGCAAACAGGAUUAGAUACCCUGGUAGUCCACGCCGUAAACGAUGAUUGCUAG